CACGGACGGUUCCACGGCGCUACCAGGGCCCGGCGGUGGCGCCUGCGGGUGGGAGGCACAGCGGGGGCGGAAGCGCUCAGACACGCGCCGGGACCGCGCCCCCGCCCCUUUGUCCCGGUCACGGGACCCGGAAGCCGCCGUCACGUGCGCGCGGGAUAAACACAGAAAGAUGGCGCCGGCCACGCUGCGCGGCGCUGCUGCGUCACAGCGAUCCUCCGCGGACCGCGGGGAGAACAAAGGCGGGGCGGCCGCCCGGCGCAGCCGAGAACAGCAAGAGCUGAAAAUAGAACCACCUUGGGCUCCGGAGCAGGAAGCUGCCCAGGAGCGGUACUGAGGACUGACGCCGAGGGACGCUGGCGCCCCGCGGGUGGCCAUGGCGACGGGCCCCCUUCUCUAGGCUGGGGGCAGACUCUGAGGUUUUGCUGUAUAGCCCAGGCUGGCCUUGAACUUACAGCGGAUCCUCCUGCCUCAGCCUCCCGAGUGCUGGGAUCCCAGGCGUGCCCAGUGUGGCCUUGCAGUCCCUUGCCUCGGGCCUCUGGGCAUCUGUUGGACAGCUCCAGUCCCAGCGCUGCCCUUUCUCCUGAGUUGGCUUCAGAAGAGGCAGCCCCUGAAGCACUCCCUUCAGAGAGGUCAGGACCGAAGGGUCUUGCUGUGUAGCUGUGGCUGGACUUGAACCAAGAGCAAUCCUCCUGCCUCAGCCUCCCGAGUGCUGGGAUGACAGGCGCCACCAUGCCCAGCUUAGAAACCAGCAUUUUAAAAGACCAGGUGCUGCAGUCGGAUGGGCCGGGGAUUUAGCUCAGUGGUUCCGGCACCUGCCUCACAAGCGCAAGGUCCCGAGUUCAAUCCCUGGUACCAAAAAAAAUACCAGGUGCUGCAGUCGGAGGGACCGUGCAGAUCAGCCAGACACAGCGCUUUCAGGUGCUUAGCCGGAGGCGAACAUGUUGAAUCUAACACGUAUAUUUUGGACCAGUUAUUGAAGGGUCCACUGCCGACAUGAACUCAGAAUAAAGCUAACUGUGCAGUGGCUGGGGAGGGGCACACGAAAACGAGUGUGCUCGGUGCAUGAAGUGAAGCGUGCGUGCGGGUGUCCGGCCCAGUGAAGGUUGCACCUCAGGGUCUUUGUGGGCUGGGCACCCAGUCCCUGUCUCUGUCCCUGUCCAGGAACUACGGCUCCCACUUUUGGCUGGGUGCCCAGGGCGGGGCCCAGCUUUUCCUUGCUGUAUUUUUUAAACCAUUUCAGGAGAAGAAAAAAGCAAAUCUAUAACCCUGGCUUCAAGUUUCCUGGAGGGCUGUGGCACAAGGUAGCUUUUCUUUUUUAACUCUGAUUUCUGCCCAUCCGAGGUUGCAGUCCUUCCUCCAGGGAGCUGGUUCAAGACAUCUCACACCUCCGCCUUCGCCCCUUCUCCUCCCUGUCUCUCCAUUGAGUCUUCAGAGCCUCUGGUGUGAAGCAGAGAUGCAGCAGGAGGCAGGCGCACAUGCUGCGCACUGCACAAGCAGAAGUGUCGCUCCCUGGCACUCUGACGGUGUCCUCAAGGAGUAGGCUGUGAGUUUCAGACUAGGAAAAGCUAUCCCAGAGAGCAGCGAGCUGAAAUCAGACUGCAGCUCAGCUCAGCAGCACUUCAGAUGCGUGGCCUUCAGCACCCCAUUCCUCAGCUCCCAGUGUUGGAUCCCCACUGCUGGCUCUGCAGGCUGUUGCCGUGUCUCCGUCCUCCAGAAGUACCUGCCUCCGAGGUGGGUCCUGUGCUCACGCAUGGGGCGAGGUCACGGUGUUUGCCACUUGACCACAGCCUGGACAUCAGCUCCCUCUCUGGAAGAACCUAGUUCCCACCCCGGUCCGCUUUGUCCCUCUCAGAUGCCAUGUACUUCCUCACUGUACAAGUCCAUACAGUCCCUUGUUCUUUAGUUAAAACAGUUUAACCUUUGUUUGGGGAUUUUUUUUCAGACAGGAUUUUGUUAUGUUUCCCAGGCUGGCCUUGAACUCAUGGCAAUCCUCCUGCCUCAGCCUCCUGAGUGCCAGGUUACAACAGUUUAAUUCUUACAAGAACAGUAUGUAUUUGAAAAAUGUUUCAAGUAGAUUUUACUUUUAAAAAAAAUUCCAAGGAGAAACAAAAUUGCAUUUUAAAGCAUUUAUUAGUUAUAAAAUAAUCAUUUAAAUUUUUUUUUCCUCGAGACUGCUUUCAAGUUGCACUGAGAGAAUGCUAAUGUAAAUAUUCACAAGAUAGUUGUUUGCUUUUUAUUAUUACAAAUGCUUAGUCUUUUUUUCCUUCCAAUUUAGAUAGAAAAAGUGAAAGAGAAAAACAUUGCCUAAAGGAAAUAGCCUUUACAAUGGACCUUUGACUUACGAACUCAGUCCGUUCCAGAGGGAUGGUUGUAACUCAGGUUGGUCAGUGGAGGCUCGGGCUCCCCUACACAGCCUUCACAGUCUCUCUCCUGCACACAGGCAGAUCUCAGUGUCCUCAGAGAGACACUGGCCGGGGAUUUCCCAGUGAGCCCCAUUCAGGAGAGGAUGCUGUCCUGUUCCUUCCAGACUCUUUAAGGGUUAAGUCUGCAUGUGAGACCAUCUGGAAGCACAGGUGGCCAGCAUUCAGGUCAUAACUCAAGACUUUGGUUGUAAGUUAAAACUAAAAUCCUGGUCAAGACCCAAGUUGUUCGUAUAUCAGGCCGGUUGUAACUCAAGGGCCCACUGUUGCACUAUUUACUGAGUGUCUGGCAGUUGCAUGGCUUCGCCGUGGGUCACCCCGAUGUCCUGUGGGCCCCAGGAGAAGCUCAGGACCAAGGCCUGGCGGGCACAGCACCAUCCCUGCUGCCUUUCCUUCGGCAGCUGGGGACGCCUCUGCCCUCAGUCGCUGUUCCGGUUCUGUGUGUAGGAGGAGCCAGCUGCUCUCUGGGAGCCUCUGGUCUGCCUGAAAGGCGCUGCCCCAUCAGUCUGGAGCAGAAAUCCAAGAACAAGCGCACCUGCCUGUCGGAUCUGCUCAGACAAAACAGCGGAGACCUCAAAACACAGCGGAAACGGCGAGUCACCGCCUCCAGAGGAUGCUCUGCCACUGAUUUCAGCCCAGACGCCCUGUGCCCCUCAGGAGCUGGAGUCCCUGAGUCAGCCAGAUGGCAGGGCUCGACUCAGGAAGUCAUCUGGGAGCCGCAGGUUCUGAUGCUGAGCCCAGGGAUAGAGCUGGCUGCUGCUCUCCGAGGGACCUCAGAGCCCGGCCCACACCUCGUGGGACCCACAGAGCCUCCUGGCUGCCCUGGCUCAGUUAUCACAGUGCUGAUGCUGUCCACUCUAAAGGUACAGUACUGUGAUAACUGAAGGAUGGCAGCCACCUUGCUGCCCGAGGUGCCCGGAACCACAGAGGAGGAGGAGGAAGAAGGGGCCCAGUGAUGGCCCCGAAACCCAUGCGCAGCCCCUGGCUGGAGAGAAGGUUAUUCUGGCUCUUCGCUGUGCUUUGUUCAUUUUUGGGUUUUUUGAGUUAGGUCGCCAUGCCGUUCAAACUGGCCUUGAAGUCACUGGAGCCCAGGCUGGUCCUGGACUCGAGGUGAACCUCCUGCCUCAGCCUCCUGCGUGCUAGGGUUGCCCCAGCCCUGCUCUCCUUGUCUCGUUUUAUAACAUGGGCAGAAAACUCGAGGUGGUUUGUUGGCAAACACGGAAGGGCCAGGAACCUUGAGUCUUCAGGGGUCAUCGCUGGGGAUGUACCGGGUAUGAGUCAGGGGGCCGGGCAUGGCAGUGCCCGCCUGUAAUCCCAGACUCGGGAGGCUGAGGCAGGAGGACUUCUGGGAGUUCAAGGCCAGUGUCCAGUUGCCGUGUCUCUGGGGAUUGGACAGCGACCUGUCUGUCCUGUGUCCGGAGAGAUUUACAUCACAUCUUCUCCCAAAAGUGUGUACUGUUACUGCUGCUGUUGUCACCUUUCAUAUGAAAAUAAAGUGUGAAGUUAUUUCAUUUUGUCACAUAAAGAAGGACCACUCUGGGAGCUGGGUGUGGGGGCCACACCGGUAAUACUCGGGAGGCCGAGCGAGGCAGCAGGAUCCCUGCAGGUUCAAGGCCAGCCUGGGCUCCAGAGUGAGACCCCCAUCUCAAAAAAUUAAUAACCAAGCAAGUACAAAGCAACCCCCACACCGGGUUUUAUGCUUCCCAGCCUCUGCAUCCUCUCCAGAGUCUGCAGGGCUGCAGGGCCCAGGUUCAGGUGGCUGGGGCGGGACCUCACUUCCCUGCAGCUCCAUCUGCGUGACUCUUGCCCCAAGGAAGUGAAUGUAGGGCCUCACAGACAUUGACACACUUCUGCUGAUGCCGCCCAGGUGUACAUGUGAGGAUGGGUAGGGGAGCAAGAUGUGACACGUGUAGUGGGUGGAGUAUUACUCAGCCCUGAAAAGGCAGAGUUCCUCACUGCAGUGUGGUGAGUCUUACAGAUGCUGUGUCGGUAAAAGAAGCUAGCAUGACAAGAUGGGUUCCGUGUGUCCCCACAUGCACUUCCAG
rnacentral:lncRNA from 1 species